GGAGGUGGAGGAGGAGGACGAGGAGGAGGUGGUCGUAGUGCUGGUAGCAGCGGCGGUGGUGCAGGAGGAAGGCCCGCGGACGUGCAACAAGUUAAGAGGCCGCCGCCGUCGACGUCGCUGUCCUCGCCACGAUGUGACAUGGAUAUCCUAGCCGUAGCCUGCGCCCUCGUCGCGACGGCACUCUACUGCAACACCCUGCAAGCGGGCUUCGUCUACGAUGACCGGAGAGCCAUCCUGACGAAUCCUGAUCUGCUGACGAGUACACCGUGGUAUCGGUUGCUCGAGAAUGACUUCUGGGGAACCCCGUUGACGGAACGCGGUUCGCACGGCAGCUACCGACCACUCUGCGUGGCUACCUUUCGUCUGAAUCACUUUCUGGGAGGCCUUGAACCCUGGGGCUAUCACUUGGUGAAUGUGGCGUUGCACGCCGCCUGCACCGUCCUCGUCGUCAAGGUAGCCAGAAAGGUCCUGCCAGGAAGGAGCAAUCUCGCGCACGCGAUCACGGGUUUCCUGUUUGCGGUCCAUCCCAUUCACAGCGAGGCUGUGGCCGGCAUAGUCGGACGCGCGGAUCUUCUUGCCUGUUUCCUGACCUUGACAUCUUUCCUGACGUACUCAGGCCAUUGUAAUCGCGCGCGAUCGCCGCUUCCGCUGCUGCUGGCCCUGGUAUCGUCGACGCUGGCCACCCUCGCCAAGGAAACGGGCAUAUCGUCGCUGGCACUCUGCCUUUUGUGGGAGCUCUGUCGCGGAGAACCAACUCGCAAGGGCAACUGCCUGUUCACACGGGGUCGGAGCGUCAUCAUUCUGUCAAGUGGUAUCGUGCUGCUCGCUCUGGGUCGGCUCAGGCUCGCGGGUGGCAGGCCGGAGUUCGCCAGCGCGGACAAUCCGACCGCCCGGCAUCCGUCGCGACUGACACGCGGCCUGACGUUCCUGUAUCUACCGGCGGCUAGCGCAAGAAUGCUGCUCUGUCCGAGCACGCUGAGCUUCGACUGGUCGAUGGACGCCGUGCCGCGCAUAACCAGCCCGCUGGACCCGCGGAACCUGGAGUCGGCGUGCCUGUACGUCGCCCUGAUCGUCGCCGGGUCCUGGGCGUUUCGGAGUCUGCGACGGCGACCGCGCCGAGACCCGGUGACGACGUGCAGUCCGCUCCGGCAGCAGGCGUACUCGCGCUCGGCGUCGUCCAGGUGCCCUGUAUGCGCCGGCAGACGUACCGGCGGCUGCCACACGGACGGCUGCAGAGCGGCCAACAACAACAACAAUAGCCCCUUCGGUGAUUGUCAUUGUGCCAAGAGGCCGAGCAACGGCGGCGGUGGCGGCUCCGCGAAUGUCGACGGCCGGCAAACGGCCGCCACCGCGGUCGCCGUAUCCUUGGGCUUCCUCGUGCUGCCGUUCCUCCCGGCGAGCAAUCUCUUCUUCUACGUGGGCUUCGUAAUAGCCGAGAGGAUACUGUAUUUGCCGAGCGUAGGCGCUUGCCUGGCGGUCGGCGCCGCGGUAUCCGGCUGUUACCGGAUGGCGAGGAGAAACGGGUCCAGGAGGCGAGGCAGAGCAGUGCUGAUCGCCGCGGCGAUCCUCAUCGGCGUGAUGUCGGCGAAGACGCUCGUGAGGAACACCGACUGGAGGGAUGAGGAGAGCCUCUACAAGUCCGCAUUGCGCGUCAACCCGCCGAAAGCUUACGGCAACUUGGGCAGCGUUCUGAGCGAGCAGGGCCGAGUGGCCGAAGCGGAGGAAGCGUUCGUCCAAGCGCUUCGCUAUCGACCGAACAUGGCAGACGUGCACUACAACCUGGGCAUCUUGCAGCAGGGCAGGAAGAAUUACGAAGAGGCGAUUUUAAGUUAUCAACGAGCCAUUCAUUUCCGACCUUCGUUAGCUCAGGCUUACGUGAAUCUGGGGGCCGCGCUGAUUUCGGUCGGACGUGGUACCGAGGCGGCUACGGUUUUACGCGCCGGCGCAUCCUUGGACGGAUCCGGCCUCAAGGACAAAAGGGCUCACGAGGCUGCCAGGGUGCAGGCCCUCCUUCAAUUAGGCGCACUGUAUGCCGAUCAGGGCAGAUUACAAAGAGCCCUGUCGGCAUACAGGGAAGCCCUGCGCGCCCUGCCGGAUCACUAUCCACCUCAGAGCGUGUACAAUCUGCUGGGCGAAACUCUAUCGAGGCUGCAACAAUACGCCGAGGCGGAAAGGUGGUUCCAGGCGAGUUUGGCCAGCCAGCCCGAUCACGUGCCGGCGCACAUUACUUAUGGGAAACUGUUGGCACGAAACAACGAGCUCCUCGACCGGUAACAACCGCCAGGGGGAGGGGGGACUGACGGGACUAUCGAGUUCGCGGUGGCUCACGAGUCGCCUCUGCUUUGUCUCUCUUUAGUCGAGCCGCGUUCUGGAAGCAGAAAGAUGGUUCCUGAGGGCCCGCAGGUUGGCGCCGGACGAUCCCAGCGUACACCACCAUUACGGGCUGUUCCUGACGUCGCAGGGCCGACUGGUGGAGGCUGCCGAGGAGCAGCUACGGGCGGCCGAG
rnacentral:misc_RNA from 1 species